rnacentral:rRNA from 1 species
CCUACGGGGGGCAGCAGUCGAGAAUUAUUCACAAUGGGGGAAACCCUGAUGGUGCGACGCCGCGUGGGGGAAUGAAGGUCUUCGGAUUGUAAACCCCUGUCAUGUGGGAGCAAAUUAAAAAGAUAGUACCACAAGAGGAAGAGACGGCUAACUCUGUGCCAGCAGCCGCGGUAAUACAGAGGUCUCAAGCGUUGUUCGGAAUCACUGGGCGUAAAGGGUGCGUAGGCUGUUUCGUAAGUCGUGUGUGAAAGGCGCGGGCUCAACCCGCGGACGGCACAUGAUACUGCGAGACUAGAGUAAUGGAGGGGGAACCGGAAUUCUCGGUGUAGCAGUGAAAUGCGUAGAUAUCGAGAGGAACACUCGUGGCGAAGGCGGGUUCCUGGACAUUAACUGACGCUGAGGCACGAAGGCCAGGGGAGCGAAAGGGAUUAGAUACCCGUGUAGUC